AGCUAAAAGAAUUGACAAAAUCCUACACACUGUGCCUUUAAAUAAAACAUCUCAUUUUUUUAUUUUAAGUUUUAAGAUUGAAGUGUAAGUGUCAAGGUUAAAAGUGUAAAUAUAACUGACAGAGCCAAGUAAAGUGAAUCCUGCUGUGGUUCUGAACCCGACUAGAUUUGUUUUAAACAAAGCCAAAUAAAUGAAUGAUGAAUUGAUAGGUGCUUUUCACAAUAAGAGCCUCAAACAUCUUAAACAACUCUCGGAUACAAUAAUAAUAAAAACAAAUAAAUACAGUCAGGUUCAGGAGAAUACAAAAGACUUAAAAGUUGUGUAUUUCUUAAAUUUUCGUCUGAAAAAUUGCAAUUUUUUUUAGUAUUUACACUUUAAUCUCGAAACAAAUGACAAACGUCCUCAUUUUAUUUCCCUUCUGAGUGGCUUUAUACUUUGUCGUAUGAAGUAGAGCCGAGGCGCACUUCGGUACUCUAAAUAUUAGAUUUUUUUUUUUCACACGCAAGCAUACAGGAAGUGGGUUUUUAUCCGCAGCCGAGGAAGUAGGUAAACUCGACUGAUGGGUGUACAGGGAAAACCGUAAACGUUUUGUGAAAACAGCACACGAGGUGAAGAUGUAAAUGAGGAUUAUAGUAUAAAAACACAAACUGAUGAAAAAGUGGGAGGAGCUUCCCCGUCCCUUUGCAGGUUAGUGACUGCUGAAUGUUUCAGUGGAAUUAUGGGUGGUGAUGCUGUGAUCUCCGCUGCCGUGCUCCUGCGACCCUUCCCCCGCUCUGACACCCCGCUCUGCCUCACCCCCUCCAGAUGACCGCCCGUCUCCCUGCCUCCCUCCACCUUCGCUUCCUCCAGCCUUUUUCGUAGUGUCGGCGGGAAAAACAAAAAAAAACACGUGCUUCAAUAUGAAUCUAUACAAAUAGAGGAUUUUAGUCAAGUAAAGAUGGAAGUCUUAUUGUGAAUUGCAAAGAUUAUAUAAUUUUUUUUUUGAGCUGAAAUGUACAGCCACCGUGUUAAUAUUGUACAGUUUGAAUUUGAACAUAUGGAAAUCUAAGCGACAAAUCAAAGCGGGCGCAGUCGUUACACAAACCAAGUUUUCACCCUUUUCUUUGCAGCUGUGACUUUCUGAAAGCGUGUUCCAGUGAUUCUGUUGUGAACGACACAACUUUAGGUCAGACUGCCUCGAGUCAGUGGCAUCAUUUUGUCUUCUUAAAAAGAAAAAAAAAUGAUUUUUGCACAUAAUUAGAACUUUCUAGCUAGCCUUUGCUUCAGCGUUGGCUGUGUUACACUGACAUUAUUUUCUACCUGGAUGGACUCGGUCUGUCCGGGGGGUCCUCGUGGUUUUUAAGAGACUCUCAGGCUUAAAGAUUUUAGUUCUAUAAAGAGAGAAAGGUCAACAAAAAAAUAUAUAUAUCUGGAAAAACUGCUGAAAUUUCUCAUUAAUAUUUUUUAUUAUUAUUAAAUUCCUCAUUUUUGUUAAAUUUAAUAAAAUUCUAGUUCUUGUCAGAUUCUCUGACAUUAUUUAGAAAUUGAUAUGUUUUGUUCAGACCAUUUUCUCACAGCACUUAUUUGUCUUUCACAACAGAAAAAUACAUUAUUUUAACUCUCUCCAAAUUAUUUUUGAGCCUAAAAGGUUUGUUGAUACUUCUAAAUGAGCUACAGAGUUUUACACCGCAUUGUUUACUAAAACUCCCAGGAGGAUUUUUAUUAUUAUUAUUAUUAAUAAUAUUAUUAUUUUCAGGCAGUGGGGAGGCAAAGUCUAGCUUUAGACCUUGGUCACUCUGAACUGGAUCAGUUGCACUGAUUGCACAAGUAGCUGACCAGGUUUAGAGUCUACUGUGAUGACGGCGCGGCUGAACGUAGGCGGGAGGCGGGGUUUCGUCUCUGUACAGUCUGUUUAUCAGUAUUCCUUUUUAUCUUCAUCAUUCCCUUAUGUCAUUUUGGUGAAUCUUGCUGUUUUAUUCUCCUUGGUCCAGAGAUCUGUAUUAAAUGUAAGAAACUGUAUAGAUUGUGCAAAAAAAAAUAAAAAAUAAAAAAAUAAAAAGCUGAAUGUUGCAUAGAAGAAGAGAGAAAAAAGCUAUUCCUUCAGAUGACAGUGAUUUAAAGUGUAUAAAAGAAGCUAAGAAGCAAAGUUUUAGGGGAUAAAUGUAAUAUUUUGUUUGUAAUUACUAUUUUUUGUUGGAAGAGGGCUACUGGAUUAAAAAAAAUAAUCUGUAAUAAAGUAAUUUUAAUAUUUCUCCGUCCUGUAGUGAUUUGUUCCUUGAAUUUAAAAUUAAGCACGAUGCUUUUAUUUGUCACAUGAUUUAUACUAAGCUGCUUGUUUAAUUGUAAUUUAGCUUUCUAUUUGCACCGUCAGCAGGAUGUUAGGAUGAGAUGGGAGCUUCCUCCAUCUGUUGCUCCUCAGCGUGUGUAUGACCUCCUGAUGAAGCCCCCCACAUCGUCCUCCUCGCAGCUCGGUUUUAUCUUCUGGACCCUCGCUCUCCUCAUGGAACUCCGCCACGACUCUGAGGUAGUCCAGAACCGCGGCGUGACUCCAGACACCUCCGUCCUCCUAUGCGAACCAGGGCCGUGCAGAGACCACUAAAGGGGCAGCUGCGUUUCCUCACCAGAUGUGGUUCCCCCAGUGUCUCCUUGCUGCUCUGCACCGCCCACACAGCAAAAAACACGCGUGCUUGUUCAGAACGACAACUACGGACACCAUGAAAGCUCAAACACGUUGCAGUUAGUUAUUCCAUAUUUUAUGUUGAGUUUUUCUUAUUAAUUUUAUCUGCUGUAAAACACUUGUGCUGACAUUAAAGCUGCUGAUAUGCAUUAUUGCAGCUCAAACAUAUGUGUUUGAAAUAAAUACAUUUA